AGCAUAAUUAGGGGCGUGGAAAGUUGAUUGACAGGUGACGCCGCUGUUUGUUAGCUGCUCGGUGGCAGCGCUAGCCGGUGGCAGCGCUAGCUGUAACCAGAGCUAAUCUCUGGUCAUUGAACGGGACUUCUCGACCGGCGCGUCGGAGCCUUGCGGAGAACAUUUCCAGCUACUACCGGAUGAAUAAUCCACCUGCCCUGCGAUCAGUCGUCCCAACAGAGAAGUCCAGGAAGCUUGCGCUCCUGUUGUUUCGAUGAUCCAGACAGACUGGACCAGUGGAAGCUCAACAUGAGGCAGAACCUAACUGACCUAUCACUUCACACUGACCCUAGGUCCACAUAUGGGAAGGACCUGCCUGAAGGAGUCCACUGUGCUGACCAUGUUCUGUCUCCAAGAGCAAAGA